GACGAAAUAACACCUCUAACCUUCCCCUCAAUCUCUCCACAAGGGUUUCCAACAAGAUUAUCAUCCGGGGCACGAAAUCAAGUAGCGAUAACAUUAAAAUGAUCCCUACGACGUAAGUAUCGCUAUAUUGCCUCUCUUUUUCUUUGUAGUUUGAGUUUUCGAAGAUAUUUAAUAGUUAAUAAAAUGCCUUAUUUCUGUAUUUAAGCUUUUAAAUAUAAAGGAAGGUUGAUAAAUACAUUUUGUAAUAGCUAGAACCCACGGGACGGUGAUCGGAAGUCGUGAGUUCGAAUUAUUCGACUUGUUGUGGGCUGUUUUUGGGCUAUUUCGUGUUGCUUUUGGGCUGUAUAUUUUGUUGUUAUUUAAUGGAGUUUUGGAGGAGAAAUUGUGUGGAGAAACACCAAAUAAUGGAGAAAUGGUGGAUUAGUCGUUCUUUGUAACAUUUUCGGCGUGUUUGACAUUACUAUAGUUGUCGUUUUAGGUAUGAAGUGAUUGGGGUGUAUUGAGCUGUUGUAAGCUAAAUGUAACAUGGAUUUAGACUUUUAUCCACUGUAGGAGGUUAUUAUAUUGUGUUCUUGAUUCUUGUUAAGAUUAUCUUGGCAAUGAUUAAGUUAAACAACUAGUGAAUAAAGUUUCUAAUUGAGGAUAACUGGAGUUGUGAAUUGUUUUCCAUGUUAUAAAUAUAUAGUAUAAGGAUCGAAUCAUUGAUGAAUGAAUUAAUUAUCAUGUUAAUGAUACUAUUAAGUUAAAGUAAGAAGCCUAUAAGGGGUAAUAUGGGUAUAUGAAUUCCAAUUGGAGUUUGACGCUCGUUGUGAAGUAGUUGUGACUUGUUGUUAUUUUAUGGUGUCUUGUUAUUGAUAAUUAUGUAUUGCUGGAUUUCUUUGGUCAUUGUUGUUGGUAUAUGGUACUGGAGGAGGCUCUUGUUACUGGGGAGAUGCUGCCCAAAUUUACAUAAACGAGCUACUAGUUUAAGUUGCGAACAUAGCCUUUACUCAACACUAAUUUUGAAUCUCCUUAUGCUAUGAUAGAUUGAGUUGAGUUAUUUGAAGAAUUACUUGGAAGGUAUUAAGGACUCAAUGGAGUUAAGGUAUGUUAAGGCAAUCCCUUAUUUCUUUUGGCAUGAUCUAAAGUGAAAUGAAUACGCUAUUUCAUAACGGAUCUACUCCUAGCAACUAAGGUUGUCCAUGUUGUUCUUUCCUUAUAAAUUUAUUCUAAGCAAGUGCGUAUGAUCCUUGAAUCCUACUGAGGUUAAUACUGAGGGUAUGGAUGUCCAUAAUGUUAAUCGAAGGUGCAAUGACCUUAAGUCACUCGGAAAGGUUUAGAACGUGAUUCCAUGAGUCUAGCAUGCAUUAUAUAUAGUAUCUAUUUUACUCUACCGAGCCGCGCUAUAGUCAGUUGGGUACGACACCUAUUGUGCAACCACUGAUCAGUUGUGUUUAUCGAGCUCCGCGUGGCCGGGUACGAUUCUACCAAGCUUUAUGAUGGCCGGGUAUGUUUUUACCGAGUCCUCUUUGAGGCCGGGUACGAUAUGAUGAUGAUGAUGCCCACAAAGGCGUAUAUUUUUAAAAGUUUAUGUAUAUAUAUGUAUUAUGCAUUUUAUAUCAGUAGCCCCCAAGAGGCACUCAGAUGUUCCAGGUUGUAUCUCCUCUAUCUCACUUUAUAUUACAGUUCUUAUUUAUGAUUUCCUGCCUUACAUACUCGGUACUUUAUUCGUACUGACAUCCCUUCUGCCUGGGGAUGCUGCGUUUCAUGCCCGCAGGUCCCGAUAGACAGGUUGACAUUCCUACUAGUAGGCUAUCAGCUCAGCGAAAGGUGUUGGUGUACUCCACUUGCUCCGGAGUUGCCUAUUUGGUCAAUAUGAUUUGGACAUGUAUUGAUUGGUAUGGCGGGCCCCUGUCCCGACCUUUAUGAUGUGUAUGUACUCUUAGAGGCUUGUAGACGGAUGUCAUGUAUAUGAAAGAUUGAAUGGCCUUAUCGACCUAUGUUCAGUAUACGAGUGUUCAUUUUGGUCUUGUAGGACCGUAUGUCACAUGUAUGAGUUUCUACAUCAUAUUGGGUUGUCAUAUGUCUAG
rnacentral:lncRNA from 1 species